UCAGCGGCCAGACCGCCGCCCCCACAGCCGCUCGGCCGGCUACUUCAGCAGCGACCCCGCUCAGCCCCGCCGCCCGCCCCUCCCCCGGUGCGGGCGAACGUGACCCCAACUCGGCUCACUGCAGGUUUCUGGUUCCCACCUGUCACCUUGCGAAGCGACCCCGUGAGUCCCGGGUAGGAAGCGCUGCCUGGUGCUAAAGACCAACAGAAACGACCCCAGGACCGCUGGACGCCUGCGCGGGGUCCCACUCUCCGCCCUGCACCCGCCGUGCCGACCCAGCAAGUGUCUUCCACAGGCAAGGGGGCUGGUGUCACAUUGUCACCCCGAAGCGCAGGGAGAAAACGACGGACAGCACACACACGAUCCAAUUUUUCUAUAUCUGUUACCAGCCUGUGUCUGUGUCAGCUCUACUAAAUAGUGAAAUUCUAUCAAGUGGGGAUAGUCUGGCUAACACAGAGCCAAGAACAAAGGCUGUUAACUAGUGGUAAUGUGACUGGUUACGUCAAAAAUAGAAAUAGAUGCUUUGUUUCCAUCACUGUUACCACCUCUCUGUUGGGAUUUACACUGCAGUCAACGCCUGGGACUUGGUGAAAGAGGGCCUCACUGACACCCUCCUCAGGCCCCACGCACACCCACAGAGCAGAUGGCAGGUGUCGAGCCUAGAUCGCCCCGGCCAUUUCCAGUCAAGCGCCCUCUCGGACUCCGUCCCGGCUUUGAUUUCAACUCUGUGCCUCCCUCUAAUUAAAAAUGCUAUUGUGUCAUGUUCCCUUUGGAAGAAAUCAAAUAUCCUACAAUGUCAUUGAUUUAUUCUUAAUUAAAAGGAAAAACCAUUUUAACUCA